GAUGAACGCUGGCGGCGUGCCUAAUACAUGCAAGUCGAGCGAACAGACGAGGAGCUUGCUCCUCUGACGUUAGCGGCGGACGGGUGAGUAACACGUGGAUAACCUACCUAUAAGACGGGGAUAACUUCGGGAAACCGGAGCUAAUACCGGAUAAUAUAUUGAACCGCAUGGUUCAAUAGUGAAAGACGGUUUUGCUGUCACUUAUAGAUGGAUCCGCGCCGCAUUAGCUAGUUGGUAAGGUAACGGCUUACCAAGGCGACGAUGCGUAGCCGACCUGAGAGGGUGAUCGGCCACACUGGAACUGAGACACGGUCCAGACUCCUACGGGAGGCAGCAGUAGGGAAUCUUCCGCAAUGGGCGAAAGCCUGACGGAGCAACGCCGCGUGAGUGAUGAAGGUCUUCGGAUCGUAAAACUCUGUUAUUAGGGAAGAACAAAUGUGUAAGUAACUAUGCACGUCUUGACGGUACCUAAUCAGAAAGCCACGGCUAACUACGUG
rnacentral:rRNA from 1 species